CCUGCGGAGGGAUCAUUACAGAGUUCUAAAAGACUCCCAAAACCAUUGUGAACGUACCCGUCAGCGUUGCCUCGGCGGGCGGCCCCUCCCUGGGGCCGCUGCCUCCCUCGGGGGGUGCCCGCCGGCGUACCAAAACUCUUUUGUAUUUUAGUGGCCUCUCUGAGAAAACAAGCAAAUAAGUUAAAACUUUCAACAACGGAUCUCUUGGUUCUGGCAUCGAUGAAGAACGCAGCGAAAUGCGAUAAGUAAUGUGAAUUGCAGAAUUCAGUGAAUCAUCGAAUCUUUGAACGCACAUUGCGCCCGCCAGUACUCUGGCGGGCAUGCCUGUUCGAGCGUCAUUUCAACCCUCAAGCCCUGCUUGGUGUUGGGGUCCUACGGCUGCCGUAGGCCCUGAAAGCUAGUGGCGGGCUCGCUAUAACUCCGAGCGUAGUAGUAAAAUAUCUCGCUAGGGAGGUGUCGCGGGUUCCGGCCGUGAAAGCCCAUCUUUUACACAAGGUUGACCUCGGAUCAGGUAGGAAUACCCGCUGAACUUAAGCAUAUCAAUA
rnacentral:rRNA from 1 species